rnacentral:rRNA from 1 species
AGUGAACGCUGGCGGCGUGCCUAAUACAUGCAAGUCGAACGAACGAAUAAGAGCUUGCUCUUAUAAGUUAGUGGCGCACGGGUGAGUAAUAUAUAGCUAAUCUGCCUCUUAGUAGAGGAUAACAGUCGGAAACGAUUGCUAAUACUCUAUACUUCUGCUUUACAUAAGUAAAGUAGAGAAAGUUUUUCGCUAAGAGAUGAGGCUAUACUGUAUCAGCUAGUUGGUAAGGUAACGGCUUACCAAGGCUAUGACGCAUAACUGGUCUGAGAGGAUGAUCAGUCACAUUGGAACUGAGACACGGUCCAAACUCCUACGGGAGGCAGCAGUAGGGAAUAUUGCGCAAUGGGGGAAACCCUGACGCAGCAACGCCGCGUGGAGGAUGACACUUUUCGGAGCGUAAACUCCUUUUAUCGGGAAAGAAUAACGACGGUACCCGAUGAAUAAGCACCGGCUAACUCCGUG